rnacentral:rRNA from 1 species
AUUGAACGCUGGCGGCAGGCCUAACGCAUGCAAGUCGAAUGGUAACAGGAAACAGCUUGCUGUUUCGCUGACGAGUGGCGGACGGGUGAGUAAUGUCUGGGAAACUGCCUGAUGGAGGGGGAUAACUACUGGAAACGGUAGCUAAUACCGCAUAACGUCGCAAGACCAAAGAGGGGGACCUUCGGGCCUCUUGCCAUCAGAUGUGCCCAGAUGGGAUUAGCUAGUAGGUGGGGUAACGGCUCACCUAGGCGACGAUCCCUAGCUGGUCUGAGAGGAUGACCAGCCACACUGGAACUGAGACACGGUCCAGACUCCUACGGGAGGCAGCAGUGGGGAAUAUUGCACAAUGGGCGCAAGCCUGAUGCAGCCAUGCCGCGUGUAUGAAGAAGGCCUUCGGGUUGUAAAGUACUUUCAGCGGGGAGGAAGGGAGUAAAGUUAAUACCUUUGCUCAUUGACGUUACCCGCAGAAGAAGCACCGGCUAACUCCGUG